rnacentral:rRNA from 1 species
CACAUGCAAGUCGAACGGCAGCACGGGAGCAAUCCUGGUGGCGAGUGGCGAACGGGUGAGUAAUAUAUCGGAACGUGCCCAGUCGUGGGGGAUAACGCAGCGAAAGCUGUGCUAAUACCGCAUACGAUCUCUGGAUGAAAGCGGGGGACCUUCGGGCCUCGCGCGAUUGGAGCGGCCGAUAUCAGAUUAGCUAGUUGGUGGGGUAAAAGCUCACCAAGGCGACGAUCUGUAGCUGGUCUGAGAGGACGACCAGCCACACUGGAACUGAGACACGGUCCAGACUCCUACGGGAGGCAGCAGUGGGGAAUUUUGGACAAUGGGCGCAAGCCUGAUCCAGCAAUGCCGCGUGCAGGAUGAAGGCCUUCGGGUUGUAAACUGCUUUUGUACGGAACGAAACGGCUCUUUCUAAUAAAGAGAGCUAAUGACGGUACCGUAAGAAUAAGCACCGGCUAACUACGUGCCAGCAGCCGCGGUAAA